rnacentral:rRNA from 1 species
UACAGAGGGGGCAAGCGUUAUUCGGAAUUAUUGGGCGUAAAGGGCGCGUAGGCGGCUUUGCAAGUGGCGGGUGAAAUCCCUCGGCUUAACCGAGGAACUGCCUGCCAGACUGUGAGGCUUGAGACCGGGAGAGGUGAGUGGAAUUCCCAGUGUAGCGGUGAAAUGCGUAGAUAUCUGGAGGAACACCGGUGGCGAAGGCGGCAUCCUGGACCGGCAUUGACGCUGAGGCGCGAAAGCCAGGGGAGCAAACGGG